rnacentral:rRNA from 1 species
GAUGAACGCUGGCGGCGUGCCUAAUACAUGCAAGUCGAGCGAACGGACGAGAAGCUUGCUUCUCUGAUGUUAGCGGCGGACGGGUGAGUAACACGUGGAUAACCUACCUAUAAGACUGGGAUAACUUCGGGGAACCGGAGCUAAUACCGGAUAAUAUUUUGAACCGCAUGGUUCAAAAGUGAAAGACGGUCUUGCUGUCACUUAUAGAUGGAUCCGCGCUGCAUUAGCUAGUUGGUAAGGUAACGGCUUACCAAGGCAACGAUGCAUAGCCGACCUGAGAGGGUGAUCGGCCACACUGGAACUGAGACACGGUCCAGACUCCUACGGGAGGCAGCAGUAGGGAAUCUUCCGCAAAGGGCGAAAGCCUGACGGAGCAACGCCGCGUGAGUGAUGAAGGUCUUCGGAUCGUAAAACUCUGUUAUUAGGGAAGAACAUAUGUGUAAGUAACUGUGCACAUCUUGACGGUACCUAAUCAGAAAGCCACGGCUAACUACGUG